GCCCCGGGGUUGUUCGAUUGGAGGGCAGCAGAACGUCGCCUUCAACAGCUGCUCAUGAAGGACCGAUGGUGGCACCAAGCCCCGGGAAUGUUCCAUUGGAGGGUAGUGGAACGUCACCUUUGGCAGCUGCUCAUAAACAACCGCUGGCGGCACCAAGCCCCGGUAAUGUUCCCUUGGAGGGCAGUGGAAUGUCACCUUCAACAGCUGCUCGUGGUGAGAUCAUUUAUUUUAAAACAGGGG